rnacentral:rRNA from 1 species
AUGGCGGGUUCCGACAACCCGGAGAUUCCCAGCUCAGCUCAAUCGGCCGAUGAUCCGGAUGUGGUGAUUACCCGGACUGAAUACGUUGAGCCGGGAAGACCCACUGCGCUGGCCAGAUGCUCUGCCAAAGAAGAAGCGCUGGAGCGCCGCAAGGCUAGACUGGAGAUUACUGACUAUGCUAACUUGAGUAUUGGAGACAUUGUUUCUGGUUACAUUGGUCACGUGCACAGCAACCGGGACUUGGAGAUUGAUAUGGUGAAGCAGAUACAGCAAAAAUCUGAGGCUGUCUGCAAAAAAUUUGAAGCUGAAGAACCGCCUGAAUACUCAGGAAACUGA